rnacentral:lncRNA from 1 species
GCAGCCUCCUUAGAUCCCCGGAGCUCAGGACUGGAGGAGCGGGGCUUGUUUUCACCUUGACCGACCCUCUCCCGCCUCCGGCUUCUUGUGCGAGGGACCUGGGAGCGGGGCUUCUCUGGAGCAGCCACCACUCGGGCCUGCUUCAGUGAGAUGAAGCCUGCUGAGGGCAGGCAGGGAGCCUGGCGCUGGGCACCGAGGAGGGGGCAUCAGCCCUAGGCCCUGCCCUGGAGGUGGGGCCGGUCCCUGGAGGGGGUACAAGGGGGUCACAAUUCCUGCGUGUUGUGAUCGAGUUCUGGGAUUGGGAUCAUGAGAAGGCAGUCCAGCUAAUUGUUAGAGGACCUUUUGCCAGACAGACCUAGGCCGAGUCCGGCUUCUGCCAAGCGAGACCUUGGACAAGUUGUUCCUCGUCUGUAAGUGGGGAUAGCAGACUGCUCUCCUCAGAGGGUGGUUCUAGGGAUUAAGUGCAGGGUUUGUAGAAGCCUGUGGCAGAAUGCAAGGCACAUGACACUCUGCAAUCAGUAGCUGUUUUGAUGAUGAUGAUUUUGAGACUGGGUUUUGCUCGUUUGCCCAGCCUUGAACUCCUGGACUUAAGUGAUCUUCCCACCUUAGCCUUCUAAGUAGCUAGGACUACAGGCACGUCCUGCAAUGCUUGCUCAAUUUUUGUGUUUUUGUACCACGCUUGGCUAAUGUUUGUAUUUUUUGUAAAGACUGGGUCUUGCUCUGGUGCCCUGCUGUGGUGCCCAGGCUGAUUUCAAACUCGUGGGUUCAAGCAGUCCUCCUACCUAGCCUCCCAGAGAGCUGGGAUUAUAGGCAUGGACCACCACACCUGGCCGUUCUUUCCAUUAUUAUUUGAUUUGGGAAUGUCUAUUGCAGUGGCUCUCAACUGGGGGCGAUUGUGUCCCCUGGGGGACGAUUGGCGAUAUCUGGAGAUGUUGUUGGUGGUUACAACUGCGGGGAAUGCUGCCAGUAUCUGGUGAGUGGAGGUGGAGGCUAGGGAUGUUGCUGAGUGUCCUCCAGUGCAUGGGCAGCCCCAACACCAAAAAGAACCGUCCAGCCCAAAUGUUAGCAGCGCAGAGGAGGAGAACUUUGCUCCACUGCUGGGGUGUGGUGUGUCGUUGUGGCUUAUUUGCUCUGUCGUGACUCAUGAGCUGUGUGUUGGUGAGUUGUGUAUUGCGAGUUACCACCAUCUUUG